CCUACGGGAGGCUGCAGUGGGGAAUAUUGGACAAUGGGGGCAACCCUGAUCCAGCCAUGCCGCGUGUGUGAAGAAGGCCCUCGGGUUGUAAAGCACUUUCAGUGAGGAAGAACGCCUGGUGGUUAAUACCCAUCAGGAAAGACAUCACUCACAGAAGAAGCACCGGCUAACUCCGUGCCAGCAGUCGCGGUAAUACGGAGGGUGCGAGCGUUAAUCGGAAUUACUGGGCGUAAAGCGCGCGUAGGUGGCUUGAUAAGCCGGUUGUGAAAGCCCCGGGCUCAACCUGGGAACGGCAUCCGGAACUGUCAAGCUAGAGUGCAGGAGAGGAAGGUAGAAUUCCCGGUGUAGCGGUGAAAUGCGUAGAGAUCGGGAGGAAUACCAGUGGCGAAGGCGGCCUUCUGGACUGACACUGACACUGAGGUGCGAAAGCGUGGGUAGCAAACAGGAUUAGAUACCCGUGUAGUC
rnacentral:rRNA from 1 species